rnacentral:rRNA from 1 species
UACGUAGGGUGCGAGCGUUGUCCGGAUUUAUUGGGCGUAAAGAGCUCGUAGGCGGCUUGUCGCGUCGGAUGUGAAAGCCCGGGGCUUAACUCCGGGUCUGCAUUCGAUACGGGCAGGCUAGAGUGUGGUAGGGGAGAUCGGAAUUCCUGGUGUAGCGGUGAAAUGCGCAGAUAUCAGGAGGAACACCGAUGGCGAAGGCAGAUCUCUGGGCCGUAACUGACGCUGAGGAGCGAAAGCGUGGGGAGCGAACAGG